rnacentral:lncRNA from 1 species
GGCGGGGCUGCCUCGUGCUUUUCUGUGAACUUCCAAUUGAAGCAAAUUUCGGUGUGAGUUUUGAAGUAGAAACGGCUACGUAAGACGUGUGGCACUGCUCCGUGCAGGAAUUACUGAAUGAAAUGAAUUUCCUCAUGAACAAAGUUCUCAGGGUUUUACAUAAAGGUGCACUGUGCACAAGAAUUGCCUCCUGCUCAGAAGUACUUGAAUUCCUCCUGGUGGCAACAGAAGGCAGUGAUGUGCAGUUGUUUAACACCUCUAAAAUACAAGGAAUUUCUCCCUGGUGGUAGCAGCUAUUUCUGUUCCGAGGAACGCUGAGCACUUUCCAGAUCUUUCUGAGGUCCUUUGCAUCAUCUGACAUUUCUGCAGGCAGUGGUUGCUCAGUGCUGAAUUUGAUGGCAAACUGCAGCUGUGAAGUUACAGGAGACAAGAGAACUUCUCUAUUAGUCGUCCAAACACAGACAUUUCAACAUGAGGCCGAAGAAAGAUGAUCAUUUUCAGUGUAAGGAGGAAGCAGACACCCAGCAUCAGUUGCGGGAUCCCCAGCAAUGGCAGCAGAAUCAGCAUUGUCUGGGAGGUAACCAUUGCACAGGGAUUUGGAGCACAUCAGGAACAAACGUAAACACAUGAGAUCUGCUUCAGGACUGGGGCAUUUCCAGGUGAAGUCAUAGAUUAUGACAUGCCAUCGUAAAAAUGUGGCUAAAGAUCACGCAGGCUUCUUUCUGUUGCUCAAUCUGAAUUCUGCACUUUUGUCAGCAUCUCCUUUAAAAUAAGGCACAAAAAGAAAGGAACUCUG